ACAUUUGGACACACGUGCUUGUGAACCUGCUGAGCUAGUGCAGAGGGUCCGCCUGUCUCCAUAUGGUCAGAGUUAGGUGAAAUGGACCCCAUCCGAAGGUUCCCGAAAAUCGUGAAAGAAGAAUAAGCUGAAGAGAGGCACCAUGGAGAGACAGCACACAGUCUUCUAGCAAGGGAAAGCAACAACAAAGAAGUCCCGAGGCAGGAAGUGAAAGGAAGCAGCACAGAGGGCUCCGGGCAUGAACAAACCUGCUUCAACUUGUAAAGCAUGAAACCAGGGCGGCCAUUGCCACAGCCAAGAGUACCAGGGAUCGGGGAGGCUGAAAGGAUCUCAUGGGCGCUUAAAAAAUUCAUGUCUGCUUCUGAGAAGUCCUGAGGUUUUCUUGAAAUGUAAUUAAGAUUAUGCAUGUUUCACAAAUAAUGCUUAAACACCAUAACCUCCGGAAAACCAUGCCAGUGCACAAGUUGUGAUAAGGGAAAAUACAACCCAACUUAAACCUGGUAACAAGACCAAUGCUGGGGAUUAACCAUAUGGCCUACAGCACCACUCCAGAAAGCAUCCCAGUGAUUAAAGGGCAUCUCGGAUGUCCUUUCUCAUAAAUUCAGAAGUAUCUGCACGUCCCAAGGUCUGAAACUUGAACAUGAAGGCUGGAGCUUCAGCCGCCAAAUUGAACUAUGAGGCAAUGUCGAGGGAGGGAUUUUGAGCCAAAUGUAGCAAAGAAGACAGAUGAAGGAUUUUAGUUUCCUGAUAACUGAAGACCUGCCGUAUGAGCCCUGAACUUCCUGCCUCUAAAUUUACUUUAUCCAAAACAGAAAUAGGUUCUAUCUUAUUUUAGCUAGGGUUGUUUUGUUGGUCUAUUCUGCAUAGCAAUACCCAACC